UACAGGGGGGGCAAGCGUUGUUCGGAAUUACUGGGCGUAAAGGGCCAGUAGGCGGCCAACUAAGUCACACGUGAAAUCCCCAGGCUUAACCUGGGAACUGCGUGUGAUACUGGAUGGCUUGAAUUCGGGAGAGGGAUGCAGAAUUCCAGGUGUAGCGGUGAAAUGCGUAGAUAUCUGGAGGAAUACCGGUGGCGAAGGCGGCAUCCUGGACCGACACUGACGCUGAGGCGCGAAAGCUAGGGUAGCAAACGGG
rnacentral:rRNA from 1 species